UCCCCUGGUGGUCCAGUGGUUAAGACCCUGCACUCUUAGUGCAGGGGGCCCAGGUUCAAUUCCUGGUCAGGGAA
rnacentral:tRNA from 1 species